rnacentral:misc_RNA from 1 species
UCCGUUUUGUCAACGGCAGUCUCGCUAGAGUGCUCUUGCGUAGCAACUAACAAUAGGGGUUGCGCUCGUUGCGGGACUUAACCCAACAUCUCACGACACGAGCUGACGACAACCAUGCACCACCUGUCUCUACUUUCCCCGAAGGGCACCUGACGUAUCUCUACCUCGUUAGUAGGAUGUCAAGUCCUGGUAAGGUUCUUCGCGUUGCUUCGAAUUAAACCACAUAAUCCACCGCUUGUGCGGGCCCCCGUCAAUUCCUUUGAGUUUCAACCUUGCGAUCGUACUCCCCAGGUGCAAUACUUAUUGUGUUAACUCCGGCACGCAGGGGGUCAGUCCCCGCACACCUAGUAUUGAUCGUUUACAGCGUGGACUAC